UACAGAGGGGGCAAGCGUUUGUUCGGAAUUACUGGGCGUAAAGGGCGCGUAGGCGGCCUUCUAAGUCGAACGUGAAAUCCCCGGGCUCAACCCGGGAACUGCGUCCGAUACUGGAAGGCUUGAAUCCGGGAGAGGGAUGCGGAAUUCCAGGUGUAGCGGUGAAAUGCGUAGAUAUCUGGAGGAACACCGGUGGCGAAGGCGGCAUCCUGGACCGGCAUUGACGCUGAGGCGCGAAAGCCAGGGGAGCAAACGGG
rnacentral:rRNA from 1 species